rnacentral:rRNA from 1 species
AGUGAACGCUGGCGGUAGGCCUAACACAUGCAAGUCGAACGGCAGCACAGUAAGAGCUUGCUCUUACGGGUGGCGAGUGGCGGACGGGUGAGGAAUACAUCGGAAUCUACUUUUUCGGGGGGGAUAACGUAGGGAAACUUACGCUAAUACCGCAUACGACCUACGGGUGAAAGCAGGGGAUAUUCGGACCUUGCGCGAUUGAAUGAGCCGAUGUCGGAUUAGCUAGUUGGCGGGGUAAAGGCCCACCAAGGCGACGUUCCGUAGCUGGUCUGAGAGGAUGAUCACCCCCACUGGAACUGGGACACGGUCCAGACUCCUACGGGAGGCAGCAGUGGGGAAUAUUGGACAAAGGGCGCAAGCCUGAUCCAGCCAUACCGCGUGGGUGAAGAAGGCCUUCGGGUUGUAAAGCCCUUUUGUUGGGAAAGAAAAGCAGCAGGUUAAUACCCCGCUGUUCUGACGGUACCCAAAGAAUAAGCACCGGCUAACUUCGUG